ensembl:lncRNA
CAACAAUGGAUCAUAUAUCGAGUGCGGGAGAGAGUAUGAGCGUGCAGCGUUUAAAGCGUGGAAGUACUGACCUUACUUUGAGUUUGAUUCCAUAAAAAGUGACAAAAACAUUAGUGUCCGUUGUGCUUGAGAAGAAAACUUCUUUUUACAGUGAAAAAAACCCCCUAAACUUCCAAGCAAGCAGCGAGUGCGCUACGACGUAAUGGGAAACUCACAGAGAAACUCGCGGAUUCUUCCACUGACCGCUGCGGCACACCUGCACCAGGGUAAACCUCCGCCUACCCCAGUCCUGCUUUACAGACCUUGCUACCUUGCAGAGAGAUGACCCCACGAUUAGUGGCUUUCUGACCUACUCGCCAGGAGAGGAGAGAUUUGCCAGCAGCAGUGCUAGAAAUGUUGCGCCAGUUGAGGAAGCUGGUAGAGAAGGAGGGGGUCCUCUAUCGGAUGCACUCUGAUCAGGGGAGGAGUUUUGAAGGAGCAGUAGUUCAGCAGCUGUGCCAGUUAUAUGGUGUGGAAAAGACUCGCACCACUCCAUACCACCCACAAGGUAAUGGCCACUGUGAGCGUUUUAAUCAGACUUUGCAUGAUCUGUUGAGAACCUUGCCCCCUGAGCAAAAGCGUCAUUGGCCCAUGUAUUUACAGCAGCUUACGUUUGCCUACAAUACCACGAUCCAUCAAACUACAGAUGAGUCACCCUAUUUUCUUAUGUUUGGCCAAGAGCCCCAGCUCCCAACUGACUUCCUGUUAGGCCGAAUAGAGGAACCCAC